ACUUAAUUUUCUGUAAAGUUGCUUUGCAAUGAUUUUUAUCGUAAAAAGCGCUAUACAAAUAAACUUGAAUAGAAAACUUGAAUUAAAAAAUACUAAAAUAAAUAUAUUUUUGAAUGGUAGUGAAUGCUGAUGCAAGGUUUGAGUCACCUACAGACUUCCUCUUUGUUCUUUAUGCUGUUGCCUUGGGUAGAUGAUCCGAUUUUACACUUUUGGAUCAUAUGCUAUGCCUUAUUUUAUUUACUUACUCAUUACUUACUUCAUUUACGGUUUCAGCUACUGCCUCUUCUUUAACAGCUACCUUUUCUGUGGCCUGCAAAAAGGAAAGACCGGGAGAUAAAGAAGAAGAGAGCCAAUACAGAUUGAAGAAUAAGAGGUUCCUACAGGAGCACGACCUCAAUAUAGCACAGCUCAGCUCCUGUCAGCUUGCUCUAUGAGAUUUGUACCUGGGCCCCAUCAUCGUCCCACCCCUGGGCCUGCUGGGUAGAAUCAUUGUCAUUCCCCUGCACAGGCUGAGAGCCAUCAUCGUCCCAGGUGGUGUAUGCAGCUGGAGCACACACAGGUUGGCUACCAUCAUCAUCCCAGGUAGCCUGGGUACCAUCAUCACCCCAGCCAGAGUGCCCAGGCUGGGUACCAUCAUCGUCCCAUGUCUGAGGCACCUCAGCUUCCUUCUCUGUUUGCUACGUGUGGCAGGAAGGAGGGUGGGUAUGGUGGUGAGGGGAAUGGUGGGGAAGGGUACAUGUGGGAGCAGGGGAAAAUCAUGAGCAGGGAUCAUUCAGAGUGGAGAAAGAAUGAGGAGCCAGAGAGAGUGUAAUAUACAGAUGAGCAUUUCUGCAGCUGAACACACAAUACUGGAGGUCAUAUAGCCUCUAUGGAAUGAUGUGGGACAUGCAACAGUAAUAUCGCGGACAGUUACUAAAGCGGGACAGACAGACAGACAUUUACAAUCUUUAUGCUGGAAAGCUUUGCAGUGAAAGGAAAUUUAAUGGAAUAGCUUUAACAAGGGCAGACUGAUUUCCCUGACCAUUACAUAUACUGAAUAGUAUUAGCUAAAUUCUUCAAAAUAGUGUAGGAAUCUGUUUGAAUUAAAAGGAAAGGUUACGUAUGCUGAUAUACACUACAGCUAUGAGAAAACAUAAAAGCACACUCACCUCCCAUGAUUCCCAAGUCUGUAAAAAAGCAUAAAAACAUAGUAAACUUAAUGACUAGACAAAGCAGUAUGGCCUUGGACUGAGUCUGGUCUUGCCUGGACCUGAGUACUACAACACUGCUAUAAGCUAAAUUGAGUGAAAGUUUAAUAAAACUCUAAAAAACUUGACUUAGUUCCCCUAAUUCUGACAGACCUGUGCGGCUGGUGUGGUGGCAGCCUGAAGUGAGUCCAGAUCCAUAUCCAGCAGAUUAGCAGUGGCUGGAGCUUCAUACUGACAAAAAAAAAAAAAGAAAAAAAAGAAAGAAAGAAAAUUCCUGUGAAAUUUUGCAGGACAAAACUCCAUUGUUGGUUAAUAAGCAGGACAUUUGCUUUACUGCAUUAAACCUGUUGCAAAAUUUGAGUGGGCAAAUCUUGACAGAUUCUUUCUUUGUGAAAUUACAGAUUACACAGAUUCCUAUUGAAAUGACUGCAAUACAUCCAUGAAAAUAAGAGCAUAAUGUAUAACUAUCAAACAAAACAUUUUAGGGUCGGUUGUCAUUCAGAAUUGAAUUAUGAAUGCCUUUCAAAUUUUGAAUCCUGAGUUUGAAAAGGAGCCAAAAAGAAGAUUUUGAAUUUAAUAAAAAGUAAAAUUAAAUUGGUUUACAUUCCAAGAAAUGUAUAUUCUAUGUAAAGUGUUAUUUUUAUUUUUCAGUAUUAAGUACUACCUGUGUUAAUUAUUAAAACAUUUCUAUUCCAUCCAUAGAAAAGUAUUUAGUUUGAAUAUAUUUCAUUCAGAUUUAACAAAUUAACUUCUUCAAAGUGGAGCCAAACACCAAACAGACUUUUAAAAGAACACCUGAGAAGUGACCUGCUGCUGCCAUGUUCUUCAUACCAACAACAUUUAUUGCAUUUUAAUUCAGUAAACCCCAUCAUUCCAACCCAGAUUCAACAUCCUACUAUUCAAAUUCCAGCUUGUGAACUGGCAGGAAGUCAGUUUUCAAACUGCGUAUUUUAGCCAAUGCUGGUGUCUCUACUAUUAGCAAAAUUAGCCUGAAGACGAGGAUUACAGGAGAAGAAAGUACAGCUGACCUGUGUUGGCGAAGUGACACUGAUGUCUGGAGCAGCAGCCUCACCAAACAGAUUGAUAAUGUUCUCCUGCUUCAUAUCCUUUGAUGGAGUAACUUUAGGAGGUGGAGGAACCAUAGGCCUUAGCUAGAAACACAUAAAAAUUAAAUAGGGUUUUAUAUUUCAUAUAGAAAUCGCUGUAAAACUGGGAUAUCACAGCAAUUAUUCAUUUUGGGGUGCUGAUUUGCUCAAGCACAUCAUUUUACAUUAUUUUAUGUUUCCUGAUGCAACUCCUUUGCCAAAUGUAAGUUAAAUUAAUUGAAUAAUUCAUUUUAAUUGCCAUUUACCAAUGACCGCUUUUGUUAUUUUUAUAUUUAUUUUGUUAUUUUAAGUGCAUUAAAGCUGAUACAUAAAUAUAUGAUGAUAUUCUUGUACUAAGUAAAUGAAUUACUUUUUUGCAAAUCACCAGAUUUCAGAUUUUUUCUCAAGAUGCAGGGCUGUGUUAUUUUACAUGGCAAGUACAAUGCCGUGGUGAUUUCUAAAUGCAUACCUUGGAUGGUGAUUUGGGUAUGGCUGGCGGUCCUCCUGGGCUCAAUGUGUGAUUGGCAUCUUGUGUUCUGUCACUGCAGCAUAAAGUACAAAUAAUGAAAUACAGUAUCAUGGCUAUAAAGAGCCCCUGUGUGUCAUGCUUUGAUUAGGCUCAAUCCAAGCACCGAUGCUUCACACUGCAAGCCCUAGUCACAGAUGGCCAGUGUGACCAACAGCCUAUCUGGGAGACUUCCAAGCCAGAACUGAUAUACUGUAACUACACUUAGUAUAGUACCAAAAUUAACAGGUAUUCAUGCAGACACAGUUGCUUCCUGUGCAAAAUCAUUCUGCUCAUGCAGUGAAUUCUCAGGACUGCAGACAGACUGCACAAGACAAACCCUUGUCUAGGUGGGCAGCACUUGAGGGCACGCAAAAAGCUUUAGUACGGAAUGCAAAGAUCCACACACACUCAAUCACACAGCACUGUAGGGCUACCGUUACCUCUUCUGGGCUGCUGAUGUCCUCACCCCUUGGCUACCUGUUUUUCUGUGAGAGUGGUGUUUUUGGUUUGUUCAUUUAUUUAAUUGUAUAAACUGUAUAGAGUGUAAUUGUACCAAUACUAAUUAUUGCCAUAUGCACAAUUUACACACCAUUUUGAGGCAAAAUAGAUAAAAAUGAGCCAGCAUGGUUAAAAUAUACAAUUCAUACAAUGCAGUGCUUAUAAAUGUAAACAUUAAGUAUGUAUGCUGCAUAUACAUUUGACUAACC